rnacentral:misc_RNA from 1 species
GGGGAAGUACUGAUCAACAGCACCUUCGCCAAUAUUGCCUACACUUCCUCGAGCAACAAUUUCAGCACCUUUGUCUAGGGCAUCAUUUACUAGGUAUUGAAGCCUUUCGGAAUGCUCUUGCAUGCAUAUGGCUCCCAUGUCAUACUUGCCGGACAAAGGAGGUCCAGCAGUAACCGAUUUCACAAUUUUGACAACUUCAGCAACAAAAGAAGAGUAAACAUCCUUGUGAACAUAAAAGCG